ACCAACUGCUCCUCCUCCAUUGAACAGUCAGUGGAGCUCCUGCUGGCUUCUCACACACAGCGCUUCCCCGCCAGCUGCCUGACCAGAACCGGUUUAUAGCCGCCUCAGCACCACCCGCCCAUCCACGCUGCUCCUCAGACCCAGCUGACUUGGUCCCUUGGUAACCUCAGACCAGCGAGGGCUGUGUUCUUAACCACACCAACACAACUUCUAUCAUCCUCAAGUGCCCGCAAAGCAGAAAUUCUCAAGUGGAGACCGCUUCUGAGUUCAUCACAGCAGCCUGAGAACCGAUUUUGUCACCUCGGAUUGGUGGUGACGCCCCUGGGACUGCUGUGUCCUCAGAGCCAUCAUUCAUUCUCAUCAGAGCCACAUUUCACUCUCGGCUCAUGAAAUGAUCAAAGUCCUUAGAACUUGCUUCUCAGAUGUGCCUUGGUUCUACCUAGGAACCCUUUGGGCCUUCUCAGGCCCACUGUCAGCCUUCAUGAAGUAAGUUUUAUUUUCAAAAAAUUUUGUUUAUUUAUUCUCAUCAUUUAAAAGGCAGGAAAACAGAAAGAGGGAGAGAGACAAACAAGAGGCAGCAAGAGCAAGAACGCUUCCAUUUGCUGGUUCAUUCCCCAAAUGUCCACCACAGCCAGGAUGGGGCCAGGCUGAAGCCAGCAGCCAAGAACUCCAUUCCAGGCUCCUAUGUGGGUGACAGGAGCCUAAGCACUUGGGCCAAAUAUCUGUUGCCUUCCCAGGCAGCAUUAGCAGGGAGCCAGAAUGGCAAGUGUGGCGCAGCGGAGACUCCAGUCACCACCCUGAUAUGGGAUGUGAGCAUCCCAAGCGGCAACUGAACUGCUGCACCACAGCACCUACCCCAAAGCAAGUGUUUAUGUUACCCAUCCGGGGGCAUCAGUCUCUCCAUCUGCUUGCAGAGAAAGGAAUGCUGAUUACCUUAUUCUUCCUUGGGAGGAUAAUACAAUUGUUUUUUACUACAAAAAUGUAACAUGCAUUCAUGGUGAAAAUAUUAAGUGUCUUCCUUUUCCACACAUUAAAAGAAAGAAAAGCA